GCGGCCUAUCAGCUUGUUGGUGGGGUGAUGGCCUACCAAGGCGACGACGGGUAGCCGGCCUGAGAGGGUGUCCGGCCACACUGGGACUGAGAUACGGCCCAGACUCCUACGGGAGGCAGCAGUGGGGAAUAUUGCACAAUGGGCGCAAGCCUGAUGCAGCGACGCCGCGUGGGGGAUGACGGCCUUCGGGUUGUAAACCUCUUUCACCAUCGACGAAGGCCUGGUUUUUGCUGGGUUGACGGUAGGUGGAGAAGAAGCACCGGCCAACUACGUGCCAGCAGCCGCGGUAAUACGUAGGGUGCGAGCGUUGUCCGGAAUUACUGGGCGUAAAGAGCUCGUAGGUGGUUUGUCGCGUUGUUCGUGAAAUGCCACAGCUUAACUGUGGGCGUGCGGGCGAUACGGGCAGACUGGAGUACUGCAGGGGAGACUGGAAUUCCUGGUGUAGCGGUGGAAUGCGCAGAUAUCAGGAGGAACACCGGUGGCGAAGGCGGGUCUCUGGGCAGUAACUGACGCUGAGGAGCGAAAGCGUGGGGAGCGAACAGGAUUAGAUACCCUGGUAGUCCACGCCGUAAACGGUGGGUACUAGGUGUGGGUUUCCUUCCUUGGGAUCCGUGCCGUAACUAACGCAUUAAGUACCCCGCCUGGGGAGUACGG
rnacentral:rRNA from 1 species